rnacentral:rRNA from 1 species
UAGGGAAUCUUCGGCAAUGGGGGGAACCCUGACCGAGCAACGCCGCGUGAGUGAAGAAGGUUUUCGGAUCGUAAAGCUCUGUUGUUAAGGAAGAACGAGUGUGAGAAUGGAAAGUUCAUACUGUGACGGUACUUAACCAGAAAGGGACGGCUAACUACGUGCCAGCAGCCGCGGUAAUACGUAGGUCCCGAGCGUUGUCCGGAUUUAUUGGGCGUAAAGCGAGCGCAGGCGGUUAGAUAAGUCUGAAGUUAAAGGCAGUGGCUCAACCAUUGUAGGCUUUGGAAACUGGUUAACUUGUGUGCAGAAGGGGAGAGUGGAAUUCCAUGUGUAGCGGUGAAAUGCGUAGAUAUAUGGAGGAACACCGGUGGCGAAAGCGGCUCUCUGGUCUGUAACUGACGCUGAGGCUCGAAAGCGUGGGUAGCAAACAGG